rnacentral:rRNA from 1 species
UACGUAGGGUGCAAGCGUUGUCCGGAAUUAUUGGGCGUAAAGAGCUCGUAGGCGGUCUGUCGCGUCGGAUGUGAAAAUCCAGGGCUCAACCCUGGACCUGCAUUCGAUACGGGCAGACUAGAGUUCGGCAGGGGAGACUGGAAUUCCUGGUGUAGCGGUGAAAUGCGCAGAUAUCAGGAGGAACACCGGUGGCGAAGGCGGGUCUCUGGGCCGUUACUGACGCUGAGGAGCGAAAGCGUGGGGAGCGAACAGG